GAUGAAGAACGCAGCGAAAUGCGAUAAGUAAUGUGAAUUGCAGAAUUCAGUGAAUCAUCGAAUCUUUGAACGCACAUUGCGCCCGCCAGCAUUCUGGCGGGCAUGCCUGUUCGAGCGUCAUUUCAACCCUCGACCUCCCCUUGGGGAAGUCGGCGUUGGGGACCGGCAGCAUACCGCCGGCCCCGAAAUGGAGUGGCGGCCCGUCCGCGGCGACCUCUGCGUAGUAAUCCAACCUCGCACCGGAACCCCGACGUGGCCACGCCGUAAAACCCCCAACUUUCUGAACGUUGACCUCGGAUCAGGUAGGAAUACCCGCUGAACUUAAGCAUAUCAAAAGCGGAGGA
rnacentral:misc_RNA from 1 species